rnacentral:rRNA from 1 species
UGGGGAAUAUUGCACAAUGGACGAAAGUCUGACCGAGCAACGCCGCGUGAGUGAAGAAGGUUUUCGGAUCGUAAAACUCUGUUGUUAGAGAAGAACAAGGACGUUAGUAACUGAACGUCCCCUGACGGUAUCUAACCAGAAAGCCACGGCUAACUACGUGCCAGCAGCCGCGGUAAUACGUAGGUGGCAAGCGUUGUCCGGAUUUAUUGGGCGUAAAGCGAGCGCAGGCGGUUUCUUAAGUCUGAUGUGAAAGCCCCCGGCUCAACCGGGGAGGGUCAUUGGAAACUGGGAGACUUGAGUGCAGAAGAGGAGAGUGGAAUUCCAUGUGUAGCGGUGAAAUGCGUAGAUAUAUGGAGGAACACCAGUGGCGAAGGCGGCUCUCUGGUCUGUAACUGACGCUGAGGCUCGAAAGCGUGGGGAGCAAACAGG